rnacentral:rRNA from 1 species
UACAGGAUCCUUAGUACGGCGAGCGAGUGGGAAGAGCUCGAGCCUGAAUCCCUGGCAGUCACUGUCAGAGAAUUGUGGCCGGGAGAGGCAACUUGGCCCUGACUUGCGCUGUCAAAGUUGACCUGGAAAGGCACGUCAGAGAGGGUGAGAGCCCCGUACGUGGCACCGCUGUCAUGGGCCGUUAUUGCCUUCAGAGAGUCGGGUUGUUUGGGAAUGCAGCCCAAAGUGGGUGGUAAACUCCAUCUAAAGCUAAAUACUGGCACGAGACCGAUAGCAAACAAGUACCGUGAGGGAAAGGUGAAAAGUACUUUGAAAAGAGAGUCAAAAAGACCGCGAAACCGUUAGGAGGGAAACGAAUGCAGCUAAAUUAGCUUUGUUUCAGGCUCAGGAGGAUGUUGGGUUUCGAUGCCAGCUGUCAAAAGCCGAUAGGUUUUGACUGUUGGAUAGUGUUCAACUCCUCUGCAUUCCUGUGCACAAGCUAGCCAACAACAGUUGUCUGUGGCUGAUGAGGGCAGGUGGGUAGGUAGUUCACUGAAAUUCAGAGAAAACGUAUAGCCAUCUGUCUGGAAGUCUGCGGAUGACUGAGGAAAACUGGUAGCACAGGCCCUCUGGGUUUGGGCCGCUUCUGGUCGUUCUGGGUACCACUUGUGGGACUGCUUGCAGUGCCAUUCGAUGGUUGUCUGCUCGAGCGGGAGACUGGUCACACCUUGUGCUGUAGUUGUUGGUGUUCAAAUGGCUGCAUCCGACCCGUCUUGAAACACGGACCAAGGAGUGCAACAUGCGUGCGAGUCUUUGGGUGUCAAACCCUGUGGCACAAUGAAAGUGAAGGCAGGCAUUGGUCUGCUUAGGCGAGAGUCUCUUUGGGGACACAUCGUCGACCGAUCCCAGGUCACGCUGUGGCGGGAUUUGAGUGAGAGCGUGCCUGUUGCGACCCGAAAGAUGGUGAACUAUGCCUGAAUAGGGUGAAGCCAGAGGAAACUCUGGUGGAAGCUCGUAGCGAUUCUGACGUGCAAAUCGAUCGUCAAAUUUGGGUAUAGGGGCGAAAGACUAAUCGA